GACGAACGCUGGCGGCGUGCUUAACACAUGCAAGUCGAGCGGUAAGGCCCUUUCGGGGGUACACGAGCGGCGAACGGGUGAGUAACACGUGGGUGACCUGCCCUCAGCUCUGGGAUAAGCCUGGGAAACCGGGUCUAAUACUGGAUAUGACUCCAUGACGCAUGUUGUGGGGUGGAAAGCCUUGUGCGGCUGAGGAUGGGCCCGCGGCCUAUCAGCUUGUUGGGGGGUGAUGGCCUACCAAGGCGACGACGGGUAGCCGGCCUGAGAGGGCGGACCGGCCACACUGGGACUGAGACACGGCCCAGACUCCUACGGGAGGCAGCAGUGGGGAAUCUUGCGCAAUGGGCGAAAGCCUGACGCAGCGACGCCGCGUGAGGGAUGACGGCCU
rnacentral:rRNA from 1 species